CAUUGGCUCCCUCGCGACGAUAAAUUGCGAACCCCGCCAGGUCCGGAAGGAAGCAACGGUAGUAAUUGAUUCGGGCGCCGAGGUUGGGUUAGUGUCA
rfam:Gammaproteobacteria bacterium GWF2_41_13 gwf2_scaffold_6079, whole genome shotgun sequence.